ACUCUCUCAGCUCUGCAUAGUUACACGUUUUUGCACAUGUGUGACUUUCGUAAUGGGGAGAGAGAGAAAGGAUCUCCUCAGGACCUCAGAUUGGCCUCUCAGUGGCCAUUCUUUCCUGGAGGGGCGCAACAGAC